CCGACCAAACCCGCACGCUGCUUGUUCUAUAGCUUGGCCGCUCGGGAGGUCAAGCCGCCCGCCCUCCCGUAAACCCUAUCUUCUCCUGUUCCCCUUCGUCCCCGGCCGGCGACGACGCCGCGCGCGCAGCGAACCCAGCCCCUCCUCCGGUUGCAGUAAGCAAGGAAGGAUGAGUAGGCGCUGGAGCCGGACCAUUUACGUUGGGAACCUCCCAGGGGAUAUCAGGGAGCGGGAGGUGGAGGAUCUGUUCUACAAGUAUGGACGGAUAGUUGAAAUUGACUUGAAGGUCCCCCCAAGGCCACCUGGCUUUGCUUUUGUUGAGUUUGAAGAUCCCCGUGAUGCUGAAGAUGCGAUUCAUGGUCGAGAUGGUUACAACUUUGAUGGGAAUCGUCUGCGGGUUGAACUUGCACAUGGCGGGAGGGCCAACUCUUCAUCCCUUCCGAACAGCUAUGGUGGCGGAGGACGCCGUGGUGGUGUCUCUAGGCAUACAGAGUAUCGUGUUCUGGUUACUGGACUACCUUCUUCUGCAUCAUGGCAAGAUCUAAAGGAUCAUAUGAGAAAGGCUGGUGAUGUUUGUUUCUCUGAGGUGUAUCGUGAGGGUGGUGGUACUAUUGGAAUUGUUGAUUAUACAAACUAUGAUGACAUGAAGUAUGCUAUAAGGAAGCUUGAUGAUACUGAAUUUAAAAAUGCAUUCUCUCGAGCGCCUAUAAGGGUGAAGGAGUAUGCUGGCAAAAGCAGCCGCUCCUAUUCACGCAGCCGUAGCAGAAGCCGAAGUGGCAGCUACAGCAGGAGUCCGAGUCCAAAGAAAAAACCAUCACGCCGUUCAGCGUCAAGAUCUCGGUCGAGAUCAGUUUCUUCCCAUUCAAGGUCACCGUCAAAGGGACGCUCUCCAUCAAGAUGAGGGAUUGUGCGGCGAUCUAGGGAUUGCGUAUUAGGAAAUUGAGGAUGGGGAUUUGGUCAGUUUGCACCAGCUCCCAUUGGUUGACCGAGAGCUUGGGCAUAGAGGUUUGGAACUCUGGAAGUAGAGCAUUAAGGAUUGACGGUUUGGACGGCACAAUGGUAUUUGCUCAGAUUUGAGUAUGCGAGGACUGGCUCCUUCACAGGCUUCAAAUUGGAGGGCUGUUCUAGCGUAUAUGCCGUAACAUUGACACAAAACACUUUCAGUACUGCAUGUUUUUUGACACAACUGAUUGCUUUUCAUUUCUGUGAGCCCAUUUUACUUGCAUUUGGCGAUUGGAAUGCUGGGGAGGAUGGAGGUUCUUGGAAGCAAGCUAUUAAAGCCCCAUUCUGGAUAUUGAUUUCUCUUGUUUUCUGGAACUUU